GAUGAACGCUGGCGGCGUGCCUAAUACAUGCAAGUCGAGCGAACAGAUGAGGAGCUUGCUCCUCUGACGUUAGCGGCGGACGGGUGAGUAACACGUGGAUAACCUACCUAUAAGACUGGGAUAACUACGGGAAACCGGAGCUAAUACCGGAUAAUAUAUUGAACCGCAUGGUUCGAUAGUGAAAGACGGUUUUGCUGUCACUUAUAGAUGGAUCCGCGCCGCAUUAGCUAGUUGGUAAGGUAACGGCUUACCAAGGCAACGAUGCGUAGCCGACCUGAGAGGGUGAUCGGCCACACUGGAACUGAGACACGGUCCAGACUCCUACGGGAGGCAGCAGUAGGGAAUCUUCCGCAAUGGGCGAAAGCCUGACGGAGCAACGCCGCGUGAGUGAUGAAGGUCUUCGGAUCGUAAAACUCUGUUAUUAGGGAAGAACAAAUGUGUAAGUAACUAUGCACGUCUUGACGGUACCUAAUCAGAAAGCCACGGCUAACUACGUG
rnacentral:rRNA from 1 species